GGUGCUUGCACCUCUUGAGAGCGGCGGACGGGUGAGUAAUGCCUAGGAAUCUGCCUGGUAGUGGGGGAUAACGCUCGGAAACGGACGCUAAUACCGCAUACGUCCUACGGGAGAAAGCAGGGGACCUUCGGGCCUUGCGCUAUCAGAUGAGCCUAGGUCGGAUUAGCUAGUUGGUGAGGUAAUGGCUCACCAAGGCGACGAUCCGUAACUGGUCUGAGAGGAUGAUCAGUCACACUGGAACUGAGACACGGUCCAGACUCCUACGGGAGG
rnacentral:rRNA from 1 species